CUGGGGAUGAUCUCAUUUACUCCACAAUUUUGUGAUAUUACAUUUGAAUUUAUGCAUACACUACUACUCUUAGGUCACGUUGCAAUCGUAUGCCUUUUUAUCAAGUUUUGCUUUUGUUGAUUUAUUGUUCUUGAUAAUACAAUAAAGCAACAAGGACAAUGUGUAGCCUGGAAAACAAUGUAUAGCUUAUAAAUGUAAACCGUUCCUUCUUUCUAGUUAACAUAGGAAUUUUUAUGCAUAUAAGGGAGCGACGUCCAACAAAAGGAUCCAGUUAUUUUCAACCAGAAAACAUUACUAUAUUAAUACAACAUACUUAUUCUACCUACCUAUCCAGCAAUAUUCAAAACAGCGCAGAAAGCGUAUAAAGAACAGUUACAUUUUUUUAUGGUGUUCCUAUUUUGCAGUGUUUAGCAUUCAAUGUAACGUUUUGUUUACUGUUAUAUAUGUAUCUACGUCGUUUAUACAUUUUGUCAUGAUAUUGUGGAGUUUUUCUUCGACUUAUGAUUUUCAUUGUCUUUUUUGGGGUUUUGCCUCUUCAAUACCACUUAACGUGUGAUAAACGAUCUCCUGGUGUUGUACAUAAAAGAAGUUAGUUGUUUGUUUAGAUUGAAUUGUUAGACUCUAUAAAAUAUAUGAAGUAAUGUUCACACAUGGUCUCUUUGUGACGUCAAACGUGCGAUUCUACGUCAGAGUUAAUGUUAAUCUAACCAUGUGGGUGUCAUGGUAAGGAUUCGGUCUCAGUACUUAAUUUGAUGUAUGCCUUUUUGUGUUUCUUUGUAAUUUGUUUGUUUUUAUAGCGAUUAUGAUUAUAGCACAAUGUUGACUGCUGUACCCCUAUUUUUGACAUUUUUACAUAUAUGGUGAAUGUUUAUUUUGUUCACGCAUCGUUGUAAAUAUAAAUGAAUUUGAUGCGACUGUCAUACAAGUGAGAGGUUAUUAAGCUAGCUAUAAAACCAGGUUAAAUUCAACAUGUCCUACAUAAGAAAAUGCCUGUACCAAGUAAGGAUUAUGACAAGAAUCACUCUGGUUUUUAUUUCGAUAAAGAACAAUUAAUUAGUUUUAUCAUUUUAAUUAACAUUUUUCACAAGUGUGAACCUUUCUAUGGCCUAUGCCCUAUUCUCAAUUUUCUAUCUGUUAUAAUCACUUUUAAGUUAAGACAAGCGAAUGGAUUAUUGUUUACAAACGUAAUAAGACGAUGAUAACUUAAGAAUGCACGGUCAACGAAAAUCGUAUGAUCAUUUAUUCAAAAAUAUUUGUAAGAUAUAAUUUUUGAUGGCUUCUAAAUAUUUUCUAAUUUCACUAUCCGAUUAAAGUAACGAAAUACAUUGACAUUCCCGAAGUAAGCUUAGCACUUUACAAUGAUUUGAUCCAAGAAUUCCACAGACAUUUUAUCAUCAAAUAUUAAAUGAAUUUUAAUCCCAUGAUAGGCAUUACAGCAAUAAAAAACAUUUGCAUGAUAACAAGUACUAAAAGCUUUCUAAUAUCCAUCAUUUCAAAAUUUAAAAUUUAACUUAAUCUCUGAAACCAUAAAACCAUAAUGAUGAAAUUGAUUUAAUGUGUGAACUUGUUUUUGCAUUAUGGCAGGCGCAUGUUGUUAAGCGUUAUCUGUGUUAUACAUUCGUCCUGUAGUACACCAACAGUUUUCAAGAGGGUAUAAACAGUAGCCUUGUAAAUAGUUGAGGCAUUUAAGGUCUCCACAGCAUUCGUUUUUAUCUGGAUUACAUUCUUGCAUGUACGAAAAACACUG
rnacentral:lncRNA from 1 species